rnacentral:rRNA from 1 species
CAGUCGCCGCGGGAAUACAGAGGGUGCAAGCGUUAAUCGGAAUUACUGGGCGUAAAGCGCGCGUAGGUGGUUUGUUAAGUUGGAUGUGAAAGCCCCGGGCUCAACCUGGGAACUGCAUCCAAAACUGGCAAGCUAGAGUACGGUAGAGGGUGGUGGAAUUUCCUGUGUAGCGGUGAAAUGCGUAGAUAUAGGAAGGAACACCAGUGGCGAAGGCGACCACCUGGACUGAUACUGACACUGAGGUGCGAAAGCGUGGGGAGCAAACAGGAUUAGAUACCCCAGUAGUCCAUGUCUCUUAUAC